CGACACUCCCGGCUCCCGGCACCGGCACCGGCACCGCACAGGUCCUGAGGGCAGCGCUCUAGCCAUGUGCAGCCCGGAGGAGGAGGCCCUGCUGCGGCUGGAGGAGGUCUUCUCGGCUACCCUCGCCCGCAUCAACAGCCUUGUCCUCCUGCCCCUGCUCGAAACCACCCCAGAGCCCUCGGACCCCCAGGGCAGAGAGUGCCUCCGGCUCUUGCAGCAGCUGCACCGGAGCUCCCAGCGGCUCUGGGAGGUGACGGAGGAGAGCCUGCACUCCCUGCGGGAGAGGCUGUGCCACCAGGACACCGUGGGUCUGGAGUCCCUGCUGUUGCUGCAACAUGCAGAGCGCAUCCUGCAGGUCCACGUGGAGUACAUCGAGUCCUACACUAGCUGCGUGGUGGUGCAGGCCUUUCAGAAGGCAGCAAAGAAGAGGAGGGAGUUCUGGCGGGGCCAGCGGAAGGCCCUGUGGCAGCUGCUGCCGGGCGUGAGCUCCGAGGCCUCGGUGGGCACGGCGCUGGCCCAGGCCCUCCGCGAGCCACUGGCCCAUCACGUGCAGCGGUAUGUGCUCCUCCUGCUGAGCCUCGGGGACACGGCUGCAGAGCCUCACCGCACUCGGGAGCUGGUGGUGCACGCAGCCACCCUCUUUGGGAACCUGCAGUCCUUCCUGAGGCAGGCACUGGACCAGGCCCUGGCCACGCAGGCUCUCUGGCACUCCCUGAGCAGCCGGCUGCGAGAUGUGCUCUGCACCCCUGCACGCCGACUCCUGCAGGACAGCCAGGACGUGCCCGUGACGGUCGCCCCGCUGCGGGCGGAGCGCGUGCUGCUCUUUGACGAUGCCCUCGUCUUGCUGCAGGGUCACAGUGUCCACACCUUUGAUCUGAAGCUGGUGUGGGUGGAUCCUGGGCAGGACGGGUGCACGUUUCACCUCCUCACACCUGAGGAAGAGCUCUCCUUUUGCUCCAAGGCCCCCCAGGACCGGGUGGUCUGGCAGUGGAAAGUGACUCAGGCUGUGUGCCAGGCCCUGCGUGGGAAGAAGGACUUCCCUAUGCUGGGGGCGGACCUGGAGCCUCCUGAGCCCCCUACCUGUCGCUGCAUGGCAUACACCUUCCGCGCCGAGGGCCGGCUCUGCCAGGCCACCUACGAGGGCGAGUGGUGUCGGGGCAGGCCCCAUGGCAGAGGCACCCUGAAGUGGCCCGAUGGCCGGAAUCACGUGGGGAACUUUUGCCAGGGCCUGGAGCAUGGCUUCGGCAUCCGCCUGGUGCCUCAGGGCCCCGAGGACAGGUUUGACUGUUACAAGUGCCACUGGCGGGAAGGCAGAAUGUGUGGCUACGGCAUCUGUGAGUAUGGCACCGAUGAGGUGUACAAGGGCUACUUCCAGGCGGGCCUGCGGCACGGAUUUGGGGUCCUCGCGAGCGCCCCACGGGCCCCGCAGCCCUGCAAGUACACGGGCCACUGGGAGAGGGGCCAGCGGAGCGGGUACGGCGUCGAGGAGGACAGUGCCAGGGGCGAGCGCUAUAUUGGCAUGUGGCAGGCCGACCAGCGCCAUGGCCCAGGGGUCAUGGUCACCCAGGCUGGUGUCUGCUACCAGGGGACCUUCCAGGCGGACAAGAUGGUGGGCCCCGGGAUCCUCCUCUCUGAAGAUGACUCCUUGUAUGAGGGCACCUUCACCAGGGACCUGACCCUUGUGGGGAAGGGCAAGGUCACCUUCCCCAAUGGCUUCACCCUGGAGGGCUCUUUUAGCAGCGGGGCAGGGAAAGGACUGCAUACCCAGGGUGUGCUGGACACAGCUGCCUUCCCACCAGAUCCAAGCAGCACCCGUAAGAGGCAGCUAGGUGUGGGCGCCUUCCCCGUGGAGAGCCACUGGCAGGGUGUCUAUGGCCCCUUCCGGGACUUCGUUAGUGCUGGCUGCCCUGGGGACGAGCAGGAGGCCCUGCUGGGCUUCCACGUGCAGAACUCGAGGGAGCUGCGCAAGUCCCAGGAGUACCUGUGCUGCGAGAGGACCCAGCCCGAGCCCUGUGCGGACAGAAUGGAAGGCAUCCUAGAUGAGCUACUGCUGCACCGGGAGCCCAGGGCCCUGCGGGAGUGCCUCAGGAAGGCUCUGAGCAACUCGCUGCACCCCUUGGGAAAGCUACUCCGGACGCUGAUGCUGACCUUCCAGGCCACGUAUGCGGGCAUCGGGGCCAACAAGCACCUGCAGGCACUGGCCCAGGAGGAGGUGAAGCAGCACGCCCGGGAACUCUGGGCUGCCUACAGGGGUCUGCUGCAGGUGGCCUUACAGCGCAAGGGCCAAGCUCCAGAGGAGGACGAAGAUACAGAGACAAGGGACCUGCAGGUGCAUGGCCUGGUGCUGCCCCUUAUGCUGCCCAGCUUCUACUCAGAACUCUUCACUCUCUACCUGCUGCUUCAUGAGACGGAGGACAGUCUCUACAGCCAAGGCAUUGCCAACCUGAGCCUCUUCCCUGACACCAAGCUGCUCGAGUUCCUGGACGUGCAGAAGCACCUGUGGCCCCUCAAGGACCUCACGCUGACAACCAAUCAGGUGAGAAGAGACUCUCCCUGGUCAGGAACAAGUGCUUCCUGUCAGCCACUGAGUGUCUGCAGAAGAUCAUCACCACGGUGGACCCCCGGGAGAAGCUGGAGGUGCUGGAGAGGACAUACGGGGAAAUUGAGGCCACCGUGUCGCGUGUGCUGGGCCGGGAGCACAAGCUGCCCAUGGACGACCUGCUGCCGCUGCUCAUCUACGUGGUGUCACGUGCCCGAAUCCAGCACCUGGGAGCCGAGAUCCACCUGAUCCGCGACAUGAUGGACCCCAUCCACACAGGAGGCCUAUGUGACUUCCUGCUUACGGCCCUGGAGUCCUGUUACGAGCACAUCCAGAAGGAAGACAUGAGGCUGCACCGCUUUGCUGGUCGCUGGGACUCCAGGGAGCCCUGGUAGCUCGGCCGCCCCGGGCCCACUGCAGAGUGGAGAGGGGCCGCCACCGAUUUCCCCAGGGAACAAGCAUGGCCCGGCCUGGCCCUCGCUGCCCACAGAGCAGACGACAGUCUGGGGCCCUGGAGGUGGCUCUCGGAGGAGAUGAGCAGUUCAGUGUCUCCCAGGGAGACGAGGCUGCCGCCCUGAGCGCAGCCCACUGUGACCCUGGAGCCCUCCCCCUGCCACUCGGUCAGUCUCGGACCACCUCCUUGACCUGCCUUGGCUCACGGGCUUUUUUGCCUCCUGACCCCGCCCAGGCCUCAGCGUUGCUGUCUGUAUCCCAGUGGCUUAGAUGGUCCGUGACGGACCUUCCACCCAUCUUGCUGGAUUCUGGAGUCCUUCUGUAAGUCUGCCAUUAUUCAGCUGGGCUGAAAUCCUCA